rnacentral:lncRNA from 1 species
AUAGAGACAAUCAAGUGAAAUAAGGAAUCCAAGCACCUGGGCUGGGCAGACGAACAGGUAGAAGGUGCUCACAUUGAUGCAUGAAGCUAAAUGGAACCAUAGCAAUUGUCAACACAAUGAUUUCUCAGGUAAGAAAGAAAAGCAGUUCUCCACACCAAAGAGCUGGCCUGGUCCUAUCUGCAAGGACAUGGUGCUGUUAGAAGCUGAACUGGUACUCACAGAUAGAGCCCUUAGUGCUGUUAGGAGCUGGCCUGGCACUCACAGAUAGUGGCCUUGGUGUGGUGUUCUACUUAAAAUAUAAAUAAUUUCACAGAAUAUCAAUAACACACAAGGCCUCUGUUACCAUGACGAAUCAUGACAAAAAUAAGAUCCCUCUCAUGUCUAAACACAGACAAAACAUAGGCAUUGUGCAAGCCGUACAAGUCUUAGAAGCACCCUAAGCUGGCCAGGCUGAGUGACUGCUACCCCCUCACAACUGACAGCUUUAGCUUCACUGCAGUUUAUUUUUUAGAUAAAGAGGUAUUGAGACACCAGGUACAGAAUGACUGAAACCUUCCUCCAGGUUACCCAACUUGGUCCUGUGGGACUUCCUGUAAGGAAGUCCUUUCUAACCCUAACCAUGACUCCACAUGGCUCUACGUAGUAUACAUUUGCCCUUGCCUCCGGGAGCAGUAAGUAGUCCAACUUGUUCAACUAUAGGUGGAUGCCCAAGUGGGGUUUCACUGGAAACUGUUGGCACAGUUAACUGUACUCAGGCCAAAGAAGGUGAGUUUAUUUUUCAAUUAAAAAAGCACUUAUUGGGGCUGGGGUUGUGGUUCAGUGGUACAGCGCUUGCCAAGUAUGCGUGAGGCACCGGGUUCAAUCCCGGAACCAUAAAAAUAAAAUAAAGUAUUGUGUCUAUCUACAACUAAAAAUAAAUAUAUUUUUUUAAAAAGCACUUUUUGGGCUGGGGUCAAUGGUAGAAUACUUGCCAGCACCUGUGAGGCACUGUGUUUGAUCCUCAGCACCACAUAAAAUGUAAGUAUUUUUUUAAAAAGCACUUAUUUACAUAAGUCAUAAUUAAAUAUUUUUUUUAAAAAAAAAGAAUAAACAAUACCAGUAUCUAAGGAAUACAAUGUUCACAUCUCCAUCACAUUUCCCACCCUCCUGAGCAAUACUAUCAUUGGGAGCCUGGUGUUGUAGUGCACACCAGUAAUCCCAGUAACUCAGGAGUCUGAGGC